rnacentral:lncRNA from 1 species
AUAUGCUUUACUUUUGAAAUGUUUUACAGUUUAAACUGCAGGCAUUUCCUAUUUUUUACAGCUCAACCUUUCACAUGAUGCAAUUACAUCUUAGAUGAAACACAAAAUUUCUGCAUUCAGAAUUGUAAUACGAUCACAGCAUUGUCUCUGUUUUUCUAUAAGAAUUGUUUUUCUUAACAAAGGCUAAAAUUUAUGUCAAAGUAUUUAAGCAGAGUACGAUGGAGACACCAAAUAGCCUACCUCUUGAUGCACUGAUUAAACAAUACCUAGAAAAUGCAAAUGAUGGGAUUUUCAUGCUGGAAUUGUAAUGAUUUGCUCUUGUUUUAUACCAUGCUCAAAAGAAUGACAGGCACAGUACAGAAGAAAUCCAAGCCUCUGUCAUUAAUAUCUUACAAAAGCUCCAGUCCUGCAGAUGCAAUUGGAAAUUCUUCAGCUUUAUUCAGGGAGCGAGCGCUGUCUUCAGCAGAAACUCAGUGGAAUCCAGUGGAAUUCAUCUCACAAGCAAGGAAAUCCCCUGCAGACCCAAUAAUCCCAUGGUGUGUCAUCUGUGAAGAAUGUACAUGAGAUCCUGAGCACCAAAGGCCUGUCGGUGACCAUGACAUGCACUGAAGAACCAGCCAACCAGACUGAGCUCCACAAUCUAUGUGAGAUGUGCUCAGAGACCUAUUUCUGCUUGGGUACCUGCUUCAACAGGAACGAUGAGUGGCACUGUACAUUGGCAUGGCUGUUUGUGAUGACUUUCCACAAUAUUCAGCAGCAGGUAUUAUAUCUGCAAUAAGAUCUCAUUGACCUGAGUUAAAUGGAGGGUUCACCCUCUUAGCAAAGGACGCUGAACCCUGGUGCCUCUAGUAGGAGACUGGACUUAUGAGGCUUGCUUGCUGUAUCACCAGUACUAAAAUGAUUGGGGUUCAGGUGUUUAGCAGUCUGAAUACCCCAAAAUGAGCAGAAAGCAAAUUCUGAUGGCUCAGGGACAGUGGAGAGAGCAAAGGUGAUACCGCACAGGGAGGGAUGCAGACUGGGCUGAAGGUCAGGUGGCGGAGGAAUGUGUUGUGCAGGAAAACCCAGAGAAAAAAAUAUGGGAUGAGCACCAUCAGGGACUGGAUGGGGAUUGUUGGUUUGUGCUGCUUUUCCAUCCAGUAGAAUAGAUGUGUUCUACUGUUCCGCAAUGUUAGUGUGUUAAAUAACCCAAAUAUCCAGUGCAUCCCUGCAUCCAGAUCAGGUCAGACCUUCUGUACGUGCUGUAUGUAUCUUGCACCCAUUUGGUGAACUCUGGCAUUGUUCUGGGCAUCCAGAAACCCUAAACAAGCACAACUGCCCAAACAGCAGAGACAAAGCAUCCUUAGCACUUUCUAAGCAAAUCCCAAAUCUGCUGGUAGUGCCCCACAUGGGGGAAGCUAAAGCAGGUGGGCA